AGAAGCUGCGGUGGGAGAGGCGCUGAAGCACGAAGAGCCUAUGUGGGGAGGAGCCGGGCAGCUUCCUCUGGGAACACGGAGUCCGGUGAGGCUACCACAAGGAGCGCCUUCAGCCGAACUCCCCGGAAAGCAGGUCCUGCGCACAGAGGGACACAGCGCUGUGCAGGCGAGGGGGACAGCGCAGGAGAGCGCCACCAACAGGAAGCACGGUGCUGAGCGUGUGCUCUCUUCCCAGGCUGUCAUAUGAAUGGAAUUGCACGGCAUCACCUCCACACCUGACUUCCCUCAGCAGCACUGCGAUGUGACGCUGGUUUGUCAUGGGUGCAUCUACGGUUUACCCUUUUCACUCCAUGGGUGUCCUGCAGCCUUUUCAUCCAUUCUCCAGUGGAAGAAAAUGUGGGGUCUUGCUAUGCCGUUCAGGCUGGUCUUGAGC